rnacentral:rRNA from 1 species
UACGGAGGGGGCUAGCGUUGUUCGGAAUUACUGGGCGUAGAGCGCGCGUAGGCGGAUCUGUAAGUUGGGGGUGAAAUCCCGAGGCUCAACCUCGGAACUGCCUUCGAUACUGCAGAUCUCGAGUCCGAGAGAGGUGAGUGGAAUUCCUAGUGUAGAGGUGAAAUUCGUAGAUAUUAGGAAGAACACCAGUGGCGAAGGCGGCUCACUGGCUCGGUACUGACGCUGAGGCGCGAAAGCGUGGGGAGCAAACAGG